CCCUUAGAUGUUCUGGGCCGCACGCGCGCUACACUGAUGCAUUCAACGAGUCUAAAACCUGCUCUGAUAGGGGUGGGUAAUCUUUUGAAUGUGCAUCGUGAUUGGGAUAGAUGAUUGCAAUUUUUCAUCUUCAACGAGGAAUGCCUAGUAAACGCAAAUCAUCAGCUUGCAUUGAUUACGUCCCUGCCCUUUGUACACACCGCCCGUCGCUCCUACCGAUUGAAUGAUCCGAUGAAUAUCAUGGAUUGAGGAUGCAAGCAGGUUCGCCUGUCUUCAUCUUCGAGAAGUGAAGUAAAUCUUAUCAUUUAGAGGAAGGAGAAGUCGUAACA
rnacentral:rRNA from 1 species